CCUACGGGAGGCAGCAGUAAGGAAUAUUGGUCAAUGGACGAAAGUCUGAACCAGCCAUGCCGCGUGAAGGAUGAAGGCCCUCUGGGUUGUAAACUUCUUUUAUCUGGGACGAAAAAAGGGCUUUCUAGCUCACUUGACGGUACCAGAGGAAUAAGCACCGGCUAACUCCGUGCCAGCAGCCGCGGUAAUACGGAGGGUGCAAGCGUUAUCCGGAUUCACUGGGUUUAAAGGGUGCGUAGGUGGGUCUGUAAGUCAGUGGUGAAAUCUCCGAGCUUAACUCGGAAACUGCCAUUGAUACUAUAGGUCUUGAAUCAUCUGGAGGUAAGCGGAAUAUGUCAUGUAGCGGUGAAAUGCUUAGAUAUGACAUAGAACACCAAUUGCGAAGGCAGCUUACUACGGGUGCAUUGACACUGAGGCACGAAAGCGUGGGGAUCAAACAGGAUUAGAUACCCUGGUAGUCCACGCCCUAAACGAUGGAUACUCGACAUCAGCGAUACACUGUUGGUGUCUGNGNGAAGANAUAUAUCCACCNGGAGACGACGCGAGUAGAACGUACAAGAGUAGUAGACGNGAGAGAGCGACGACGACGACGAGGAGGGAGGNG
rnacentral:rRNA from 1 species